UACGUAGGUGGCAAGCGUUGUCCGGAUUUAUUGGGUUUAAAGGGUGCGUAGGUGGUCUAUUAAGUCAGUGCUGAAAUAUCCCGGCUUAACCGGGAGGGUGGCAUUGAUACUGAUGGACUUGAGUAAAGUUGAGGUAGGCGGAAUUGACGGUGUAGCGGUGAAAUGCUUAGAUAUCGUCAAGAACACCUAUAGCGAAGGCAGCUUACUAAGCUUAACUGACGCUGAGGCACGAAAGUGUGGGGAUCAAACAGGG
rnacentral:rRNA from 1 species